CCCUUAGAUGUUCUGGGCUGCACGCGCGCUACACUGAAGCUAUCAACACGUUUUCCCUCCCUGAGAAGGGCGGGUAACCUUUUGAAUCAGCUUCGUGGUAGGGAUCGGGGCUUGCAAUUGUUCCCCGUGAACCAGGAAUUCCUAGUAGACGCGAGUCAUAAGCUCGCAUCGAUUAAGUCCCUGCCCUUUGUACACACCGCCCGUCGCUACUACCGAUUGAACGUUUUAGUGAGGCAUUUGGACCGACGCAUCUCAGUUUAACCGCUGGUUUGUGUUGGAAGACUUCCAAACUUGAGCGUUUAGAGGAAGUAAAAGUCGUAACA
rnacentral:rRNA from 1 species